AAACCGCAAAGAGGUAAACGGGUGGAUCCGCGAGGUCGGCCCUGGGAAUUCAGCCCAGCAUGUUGGGGCGGCUUGGACGUGGUGAUCUGUCCAGGACUCCACGUUCUCGCGUCGGCUUCCAGCGAGCAGGGUGCACUUUCUCCGGGUCGAGUGCCACGACCGGUUCCGCGCUAGUCAUGAGCCCGGCGGCAAGGUUACUGUAACAGGUGUUAUAGGCCGCCGAGGUGGACACGCUGCGGGACCGAGGAUGCUUGCCGCAUUCCACGGCUUCGGGUCGUACGGGCGCGUUCAACGUUGGCGUCACUUCUCGCAAGUGCGCCGAGACCGCGUGCCUGUCACGGGCCCGUCUGCCGGGAGUGCCUCGUGUCGGUGGCCAAACGGUCGGUCCUCCACCCGACCCGUCUUGAAACACGGACCAAGGAGUCUAACAUGUGCGCGAGUCAAGGGGUCUAACGAAACCCAAAGGCGCAAUGAAAGUGAAGGCCGCCUCCGGUUGGCCUAGGCGGGAUCCCGUCCCGUUCGCGGGGCGGGCGCACUGCCGGCCCGUCUCGGCUGCAUCGUCAGCGAGGCGGAGCAAGAGCGCACACGUUGGGACCCGAAAGAUGGUGAACUAUGCCUGAGUAGGACGAAGUCAGAGGAAACUCUGAUGGAGGUCCGUAGCGAUUCUGACGUGCAAAUCGAUCGUCAAACUUGGGUAUAGGGGCGAAAGACUAAUCGAACCAUCUAGUAGCUGGUUCCCUC
rnacentral:rRNA from 2 species